rnacentral:rRNA from 1 species
AUUGAACGCUGGCGGCAUGCCUAACACAUGCAAGUCGAACGGGGCAGCAAUGCCUAGUGGCGGACGGGUGAGGAAUACGUAGGAAUCUGCCCUUAAGUGGGGGAUAACCAGGGGAAACCCUGACUAAUACCGCAUGAUAUCUUCGGAGCAUAGCGGGGGACCGCAAGGACUCUCGCUUCUGGUUGCGCCUACGUCUGAUUAGCUAGUUGGUAGGUUAAAGGCCUACCAAGGCGACGAUCAGUAACUGGUCUGAGAGGAUGAUCAGUCACACCGGAACUGAGACACGGUCCGGACUACUACUGGAAGCAGCAGUGGGAUAUAUUGGACAUUGGGCGCAAGCCUGAUCCAGCAAUGCCGCGUGUGUGAAGAAGGCCUUCGGGUUGUAAAGCACUUUAGCCUGGAAAGAAAAAACUAUGGUUAACACCCAAAGUCUUGACGGUACCAGGAGAAUAAGCACCGGCUAACUCUGUGCCAGCAGCCGCGGUAAAAC